GACGAACGCUGGCGGCGUGCUUAACACAUGCAAGUCGAACGGAAAGGCCCUGCUUUUGUGGGGUGCUCGAGUGGCGAACGGGUGAGUAACACGUGAGUAACCUGCACUUGACUUUGGGAUAACUUCAGGAAACUGGGGCUAAUACCGGAUAGGAGCUCCUGCUGCAUGGUGGGGGUUGGAAAGUUUCGGCGGUUGGGGAUGGACUCGAGGCUUAUCAGCUUGUUGGUGGGGUAGUGGCUUACCAAGGCUUUGACGGGUAGCCGGCCUGAGAGGGUGACCGGCCACAUUGGUACUGAGAUACGGCCCAGACGCCUACGGGAGGCAGCAGUGGGGAAUAUUGCACAAUGGGCGGAAGCCUGAUGCAGCAACGCCGCGUGCGGGAUGACGGCCUUCGGGUUGUAAACCGCUUUCGCCUGUGACGAAGCGUGAGUGACGGUAAUGGGUAAAGAAGCACCGGCUAACUACGUG
rnacentral:rRNA from 1 species